rnacentral:rRNA from 1 species
UGUGAGGCGUUGGACACUGCGUGGGUAAUACAGGGGGGGCAAGGGGGUAUCUGCGGUACUGGGCGGAAAGCGUGUGUAGGUGGGGGGGAAAGGCAAUUGUGAAAGCCCCGGGCUUAACUCGGGAACUUCUUUUGAUACGGUCUGACUAGAAUUCGGUAGAGGGAGGCGGAACUCCAGGUGUAGCGGUGAAAUGCGUAGAUAGCUGGAAGAACACCAAUGGCGAAGGCAACCUCCUGGGCCUUAAUUGACACUGAGACACGAAAGCGUGGGGAUCAAACAGGAUUAGAUACCCCUGUAGUC